rnacentral:ncRNA from 1 species
GUUAGUCGGUCCUAAGUUCAAGGCGAAAGCCGAAAAUUUUCAAGUUAUUAUUUAACAUUCUAAAUGUUUUUUAAUAUUUGAUAUACUUGAUAAUUUCGAACGAAAGGGAAUACGGUUCCAAUUCCGUAACCUGUUGAGUAUACGUUUGUUAUUAAAUAUGGGCUCUUUUGCUCAUCCUGGUAACAGGAACAACCAUAGAGAAGCCGUCGAGAGAUAUCGGAAGAGUUUUCUUUUCUGUUUUAUAGUCGUACUACCAUGGAAGUCUUUCGAAGAGAGAUAU